GUCUUGCCUGCCCACUGAGUAAUUCAAGGGCCGCGGUAUUUUGACCGUGCAAAGGUAGCAUAAUCAUUAGUCUUUUAAUUAAGGACUGGGAUGAAAGGCUGGACGAGGUACAAACUGUCUCCAUGAAAAUAAAGAAGUUAACUUUUUAGUUAAAAGGCUAAAAUAGGGUUAGAGGACGAGAAGACCCUAUAGAACUUUAUAGAAUGAGGUCAAGUUUUUAGAAGAAUAUUAAACUUUUACAUAAGUUCUAUUACGUUGGGGUGAUGGGGUAAUAAAUUAACUUAUCUUGAAUAUAACAUUAUAAAUGAGUAGAGGAUCCGUAUAUAACGAUUAAAAAAUUAAGUUACCUUAGGGAUAACAGCGUAAUCCUUUUUGAGAGUUCAUAUCGAUAAGAGGGGUUGCGACCUCGAUGUUGGAUUAAAGGUAAUCCCAGGUGCAGCUGCUUGGGGUUAAGGUCUGUUCGAC
rnacentral:rRNA from 1 species